GAUCCUGGCUCAGGAUGAACGCUAGCGACAGGCUUAACACAUGCAAGUCGAGGGGCAUCAUGAGGUAGCAAUACCUUGAUGGCGACCGGCGCACGGGUGAGUAACGCGUAUGCAACCUGCCUGAUACCGGGGUAUAGCCCAUGGAAACGUGGAUUAACACCCCAUAGUACUUUUAUCCUGCCUGGGAUGGGAGUUAAAUGUUCAAGGUAAUCGGGUGGGCAUGCGUCCUAUUAGUUAGUUGG
rnacentral:rRNA from 1 species